rnacentral:rRNA from 1 species
UCGGGUUAAGUCCCAUAACGAGCGCAACCCUUAUCGUUAGUUGCCAGCGGGUAAUGCCGGGAACUCUAACGAAACUGCCGGUGUAAACCGUGAGGAAGGUGGGGAUGACGUCAAAUCAGCACGGCCCUUAUGUCCAGGGCUACACACGUGUUACAAUGGCCGGUACAGAGGGCAGCUACCUGGAGACAGGACGCGAAUCUCCAAAGUCGGUCUCAGUUCGGAUCGGAGUCUGCAACUCGACUCCGUGAAGCUGGAUUCGCUAGUAAUCGCGCAUCAGCCAUGGCGCGGUGAAUACGUUCCCGGGCCUU